CAUUAAAGAAUCGCCCCGUUUUUUGAAAUGGGUUCUAUUCCCAAACCGUGUAUACAUUCCUUUGUUGCUUUGGCAGGCCGCCUUUUAGGCGUUGGCUCCGGCUGACUGCGCCUGCCAGAGGACCCAAACUCUUUUGUUUAGUGAUGUCUGAGUACUAUAUAAUAGUUAAAACUUUCAACAACGGAUCUCUUGGUUCUGGCAUCGAUGAAGAACGCAGCGAAAUGCGAUAAGUAAUGUGAAUUGCAGAAUUCAGUGAAUCAUCGAAUCUUUGAACGCACAUUGCGCCCCUUGGUAUUCCGAGGGGCAUGCCUGUUCGAGCGUCAUUAUAACCACUCAAGCCCUCGGCUUGGUCUUGGGGUUCGCGGUUUCGCGGCCCUUAAAAUCAGUGGCGGUGCCGUCUGGCUCUAAGCGUAGUAAUCCUCUCGCUAUAGGGCCCAGGUAACCACCUGCCAGAACCCCCCAUUCUUUAUGGUUG
rnacentral:rRNA from 1 species